GAUGAACGCUGGCGGCGUGCCUAAUACAUGCAAGCCGAGCGAACAGACGAGGAGCUUGCUCCUCUGACGUUAGCGGCGGACGGGUGAGUAACACGUGGAUAACCUACCUAUAAGACUGGGAUAACUUCGGGAAACCGGAGCUAAUACCGGAUAAUAUAUUGAACCGCAUGGUUCAAUAGUGAAAGACGGUUUUGCUGUCACUUAUAGAUGGAUCCGCGCCGCAUUAGCUAGUUGGUAAGGUAACGGCUUACCAAGGCAACGAUGCGUAGCCGACCUGAGAGGGUGAUCGGCCACACUGGAACUGAGACACGGUCCAGACUCCUACGGGAGGCAGCAGUAGGGAAUCUUCCGCAAUGGGCGAAAGCUUGACGGAGCAACGCCGCGUGAGUGAUGAAGGUCUUCGGAUCGUAAAACUCUGUUAUUAGGGAAGAACAAAUGUGUAAGUAACUAUGCACGUCUUGACGGUACCUAAUCAGAAAGCCACGGCUAACUACGUG
rnacentral:rRNA from 1 species